GUGGCUUUGCUCGGUCGGGAUGGCAGGUAGCCCGUUGUGCAUUUAUGUGCUUCGGGUGUAAUAGCUGACUGCAUCGGUUCUGUGCGGUACGUCGGAGACGGCGGCUUGUUGCGCUUGCGUGCGUGCCUGUUGCGCCGGCGGCUCUGGGUUUGGUUGCCUUGUUGCUUGUAAAUGCAAGCCAGGUGAUGGCUCGGUGUCGUUCGGUGUGCGGUUGCGUGCGUAGUGCUUUGAAAGGGCCCACAGUCUGUGGUGUAGUGGUAGACUAUCCACCCGACCCGUCUUGAAACACGGACCAAGG
rnacentral:rRNA from 1 species